UACGUAGGGCGCAAGCGUUGUCCGGAUUCACUGGGCGUAAAGGGUGCGCAGGCGGACUGGCAAGUCAGGGGUGAAAUCUCACAGCUCAACUGUGAAACUGCCUUUGAUACUGCUGGUCUUGAGUCAGGGAGAGGUUUGAUGGAAUUCCAGGUGUAGCGGUGAAAUGCGUAGAUAUCUGGAGGAACACCGGUGGCGAAGGCGCA
rnacentral:rRNA from 1 species